AGCGAACGCUGGCGGCAGGCUUAACACAUGCAAGUCGAACGGGCGUAGCAAUACGUCAGUGGCAGACGGGUGAGUAACGCGUGGGAACGUACCUUUUGGUUCGGAACAACCCAGGGAAACUUGGGCUAAUACCGGAUAAGCCCUUACGGGGAAAGAUUUAUCGCCGAAAGAUCGGCCCGCGUCUGAUUAGCUAGUUGGUGUGGUAACGGCGCACCAAGGCGACGAUCAGUAGCUGGUCUGAGAGGAUGAUCAGCCACAUUGGGACUGAGACACGGCCCAAACUCCUACGGGAGGCAGCAGUGGGGAAUAUUGGACAAUGGGCGCAAGCCUGAUCCAGCCAUGCCGCGUGAGUGAUGAAGGCCCUAGGUUGUAAAGCUCUUUUGUGCGGGAAGAUAAUGACGGUACCGCAAGAAUAAGCCCCGGCUAACUUCGUGCCAGCCGCCGCCGUAAC
rnacentral:rRNA from 1 species